CUGAAUACGGUGAUCAGUGAUAUCUGAGGAUGUGCAGUUGAAGUAUGAAUUCUGCUAUAACAGAUGCAGUACUGUCAGAUCCUCCCCCAGUCUCACUGGCUGGCUCCGGCUCCCGCUCUGAUUUUCUGAGUUUCCUUUGGAGAAGAGGGUGGUAUGAACACUGACCUUGAUGAUUAAGGAGAGAUGGAGUGGAAUUGUGGAGUGUUUUGCUCUGCUCCAGGCUUUGGAGAUUAAGAGGAUUGAGAUGAGAGCUGAGAUUAACCUCUUCAUUCAUCUGCGACCGAAGCUCAAGCUCAACGUACACAGGACACAUACACAGUUCAUCUAAAACAAAAACAAAGACAUUCACUCCUCAUCAGUCCUGAACAGAAGUGGAGGGAUUUGCCACCUAGAGCGAGUGACCUCUCUCACAUUUACAGAAGGAAGGAGUGAAAGGAGGAUUACUGAGGAGGGAUAAUCGAAUCAGCAGAGUGCAGAUGUUCUCCACAGCUGGCCAGAUGCCUAGAG